GGACGCUUCUUUGGGUUUACUUCAAGGAGAUGAGCCACAAAGUCUAUAAAUCCUUGAUCCCCCAUUGGUAAACGAUGUCUCAAGGAUGUCUUUUUGGGUAUCAAGCAUUCCAAUCUGUUUGUUUCCUGAUUUCGUUCAUACAGCAUAUGAUUUUUGGUGAAGUACUUAUAAGUAUCUCGUCCUUUAACAAGCAAAUCUUGGUCAAUGGGACCUAUAAUACCAAUCACCCUAGCAAGUAAUGUGGCAGGAGAGUCAUUUUGAAAAAGCACAUUUCCCGUGCAAAGUUCUGCUAGGAUGCAG
rnacentral:misc_RNA from 1 species